rnacentral:rRNA from 1 species
CACCUUCGGGUGUGAAUUAGCGGCGAACGGGUGAGGAACACGUGAGAAAUCUGCCUUCAACUCUGGGAUAACUCCGGGAAACCGGGGCUAAUACCGGAUAUGAGCCUUGAUCGCAUGAUCGAGGCUGGAAAGUUUUUCGGUUGAAGAUGAUCUCGCGGCCUAUCAGCUUGUUGGUGAGGUAAUGGCUCACCAAGGCGACGACGGGUAGCCGGCCUGAGAGGGCGACCGGCCACACUGGGACUGAGACACGGCCCAGACUCCUACGGGAGGCAGCAGUGGGGAAUAUUGGGCAAUGGAGGAAACUCUGACCCAGCGACGCCGCGUGAGGGAUGAAGGCCUUCGGGUUGUAAACCUCUUUCAGUAGGGAAGAAGCGAAAGUGACGGUACCUACAGAAGAAGCACCGGCUAACUAUGUGCCAGCAGCCGCGGUAAUACAUAGGGUGCAAGCGUUGUCCGGAAUUAUUGGGCGUAAAGAGCUCGUAGGUGGUUAGAUACGUCGGAUGUGAAAAUCAGGGGCUCAACCCCUGACCUGCAUUCGAUACGGUCUAGCUAGAGUGUGGUAGGGGAGACUGGAAUUCCUGGUGUAGCGGUGGAAUGCGCA